UGUUCUCUAUUUAUUUUCCGC
rnacentral:piRNA from 1 species